rnacentral:rRNA from 1 species
UACGUAGGGUGCUAGCGUUAAUCGGAAUUACUGGGCGUAAAGCGUGCGCAGGCGGCUUUGCAAGUCAGAUGUGAAAUCCCCGGGCUCAACCUGGGAACUGCAUUUGUGACUGCAUGGCUAGAGUGCGGCAGAGGGGGAUGGAAUUCCGAGUGUAGCAGUGAAAUGCGUAGAUAUCAGGAGGAAUACCGAUGGCGAAGGCAGGUCUCUGGGCUGACACUGACGCUCAUGCACGAAAGCGUGGGGAGCAAACAGG